rnacentral:rRNA from 1 species
UCCUACGGGAGGCAGCAGUGGGGAAUCUUGCGCAAUGGACGAAAGUCUGACGCAGCCACGCCGCGUGAGUGAAGAAGGCCUUCGGGUUGUAAACUGCUUUUGUCAGGGAAGAAAUCCUGUCGGCUAAUACCCGGCGGGGCUGACGGUACCCAAAGAAUAAGCACCGGCUAACUUCGUGCCAGCAGCCGCGGUAAU